GACGAACGCUGGCGGCGUGCCUAAUACAUGCAAGUCGAACGCUUCUUUCCUCCCGAGUGCUUGCACUCAAUUGGAAAGAGGAGUGGCGGACGGGUGAGUAACACGUGGGUAACCUACCCAUCAGAGGGGGAUAACACUUGGAAACAGGUGCUAAUACCGCAUAACAGUUUAUGCCGCAUGGCAUAAGAGUGAAAGGCGCUUUCGGGUGUCGUUGAUGGAUGGACCCGCGGUGCAUUAGCUAGUUGGUGAGGUAACGGCUCACCAAGGCCACGAUGCAUAGCCGACCUGAGAGGGUGAUCGGCCACACUGGGACUGAGACACGGCCCAGACUCCUACGGGAGGCAGCAGUAGGGAACCUUCGGCAAUGGACGAAAGUCUGACCGAGCAACGCCGCGUGAGUGAAGAAGGUUUUCGGAUCGUAAAACUCUGUUGUUAGAGAAGAACAAGGACGUUAGUAACUGAACGUCCCCUGACGGUAUCUAACCAGAAAGCCACGGCUAACUACGUG
rnacentral:rRNA from 1 species